AGAGGACGUGAAACCGAUACGAUGGAAGCGCACAGAGCCAGUCGCAUUGACAUUAAUUUAUUGGUGUUUCUAAGUGUGAAACAUUUGAUUGCUUUUGUUGCCCGCACUCUAGGUCGCGAAAUUUAUUUUUCGUAGUUGGAGGGCACGAAGACAUAAGUAGUUAAAUUGUAGAUUGGGGAAGGUUAGUUGAUGUAUUGUGGUUUUUUGAUGAUUCACUUGUGUUUGACUCUUAAAAUUAUUUUACUGAUAUUAGCCCAACUAGUCGUUUUUACAUAGCCCUGGUAUGCUGUACGUCCCGUCUUGAAACACGGACCAAGGAGUGUAUUGCUAUGGCGAGUCAUUAAUAUUGUUAAUAUUAAAGGCGUAUUGAAAAAGAUUCUACUUGUGAUGUAGCAAUACAGCAACAAGGACGUGGGCAUGAUAUUUAUAUCCGUCCGCAGUUAGAGCCAUAGUAGUGCGACCCGAAAGAUGGUGAACUAUGCUAGCGCAGGGUGAAGUCAGAGGAAACUCUGAUGGAAGCUCGAAGCGGUCCUGACGUGCAAAUCGGUCGUAUGACGUUAGUAUAGGGGCGAAAGACUAAUCGAACCAUCUAGUAGCUGGUUCCUUCG
rnacentral:rRNA from 1 species